CGCAGCCGCGGUAAUUCCAGCUCCAAUAGCGUAUAUUAAAGUUGUUGCAGUUAAAAAGCUCGUAGUUGAAUUUCGGGGUUAGUAGGUUGGUCAUGCCUCUGGUAUGUACUGGUCUCACUGAUUCCUCCUUCCUGAUGAACCUUAAUGCCAUUAAUUUGGUGUUUUGGGGAAUUUGGACUGUUACUUUGAAAAAAUUUAGAGUGUUUAAAGCAAGCUAACGCUUGAAUACAUUAGCAUGGAAUAAUGAAAUAGGACGUUCGAUCCUAUUUUGUUGGUUUCUAGGAUUGACGUAAUGAUUAAUAGGGAUAGUUGGGGGCAUUAGUAUUCAAUUGUCAGAGGUGAAAUUCUUGGAUUUAUUGAAGACUAACUACUGCGAAAGCAUUUGCCAAGGAUGUUUUCAUUAAUCAAGAACGAAAGUUAGGGGAUCGAAGACGAUCAGAUACCGUCGUAGUCUUAACCAUAAACUAUGCCGACUAGGGAUCGGAUGAUGUUAAUUUUUUAAUGACUCACUCGGCGCCUU
rnacentral:rRNA from 1 species